rnacentral:misc_RNA from 1 species
GGAUGAAGAACGCAGUGAAAUGCGAUAAGUAAUGUGAAUUGCAGAAUCCAGUGAAUCAUCGAAUCUUUGAACGCACAUUGCGCCCGCCAGCAUUCUGGCGGGCAUGCCUGUUCGAGCGUCAUUUCAACCCUCGACCUCCCCUUGGGGAGGUCGGCGUUGGGGACCGGCAGCACACCGCCGGCCCUGAAAUGGAGUGGCGGCCCGUCUGCGGCGACCUCUGCGUAGUAAUACAGCUCGCACCGGAACCCCGACGCGGCCACGCCGUAAAACACCCAACUUCUGAACGUUGACCUCGAAUCAGGUAGGACUACCCGCUGAACUUAAGCAUAUCAAUAAGCGGAGGA